GGAGUGGAGCCGGAGCUUCGCUAGAUUUUAUUUUCCGCUGCAGUUUUCUUCAUGCCGUAUAGCAAGUGUUUGCCAAGGUAUCGAUACAUCCAAACUCCAUUGGGAUGCUUGGCCGAGUUGGUGUACGUCACCAUUCCGCUUGCUUUGGUAAGAACUUGGUAAAAAGCUUGAGUGUGUGUGAUAUCGGAGCUUCCACUACCUAGUAGUUGAUAGGAGCGUGCAUAUUCUUGUGUAUGUUUCUUGUUUGCUAUUAACCAUGCCAGGAUUGCGCAAGGGGAUACGAGAUGGUCAUGCUCAACAUCGGCUUCUUCACCAUCGACGAGAGAUGCCAACUUCUCGACAAGAUGCAUAUGAGGUACCUGACUAUAAUUUUGCAUGAGUUGAAUCUAAGUUACCAUUCUACAAUGGUAAAUACGAUUAUGUUGCUUAUAUUGAUUGGGAGCUAGCAGUAGACAAUGAAUUUGAUAAAUAUGAUUUUUCUGAUGCUCAAAUGAUUAAGGCUGCUAGUAAUAAGUUUACCUCUCCUGCUCUCUUUUGGUGGAGUUAUGUGAGUAACAAACCUGAAACUUGGGAUGAAUGCAAAACCUUGAUAAGAAAACAUUUUGUAAGUUCUUAUUACAAAUGUCUUCUUCAUGAGAAAUUAGAACAUCUGAAACACAAGGUGAGAGUACAUUCAUGAAUUCAAAGUUUGCAUUAUCUACAGUGGUCUAAAAGAAUGCAAUGAAAACACAAUGCGUAGAUUUUUCAAAGGGCUUAGUUCUGAAGUUCAGGUUAUGCUUGCUAAUGUGAAAUAUAAUCAUAUUGGACACCUAUUCAUGUUUGCUCGUAGCAUUGAGAGUCAGAUCAUAUCAAAUGCGAGAAAGUAUGAACAAUGUGAUUUAUCUCCUAUUUCUGAAUCUCCUAUAUCCUGAUGCAAUGAUGAUGUGCAAACAUUGGAGGAGCAAUCUUUUGUCUCUCCUGUUACUAACAUUUUGCAGGUAAUUCAUCACAUUCAACAAAAGAGGGAGAAUGGUGUACUUGAGAAGAAAGAGGAUGAAGCACCUGUGGUGUCUGAAGAAAGUUUGCAAGGUAAAUUAAAUGGUACUGAGAUAAAUAAAUGUGAGUAUUCUCAAGCUAAGCUACACAUGUCUAUUUUUCAUGCUAUAGUAGAGCAGCCAUUAGUGGAACCAAUUGCUGAGAUGCCUUUGUCACAAGUUGAUUUACUUGUUGUUCCUUGUGAUAAAGAAGAGUCGUGUGAUAAUGCUUCACUUACAUGUUGUUUCUAGUGUUUCUUUGUGUGCCGAUUUUAAGCAUGUCGUUCACAUUGCUAAUGAAAUAGAGGAACGAGAAUUGACAUCUUCUUUAAAUAAUUCGGGCUAUGUUCAGUUUGAUGAUUUUUGUGAGCUCGAUGAUUUGAAGGAGAAGGGGAGGAUGAUGUGACCAUGGCUACCAUUGAUACAACCAUUGCUCACAUCAUGGAUGAACAAGAUGAUAACAAGAUCAAGUCCUCCAAUUAUUGGAAUCCAAUUCAGCCACCUGCUACUGUAUUGAAUUCAAAUGGCCGCCAAAUGUGCAUACGAGCUCCGUUUUGGGUCCAUGAGUACUUGAUGGAAAGCUCACGUAGUCAUCUUUCCAACGGAUCCAACCUCAUUGCCAAAUUCCUUCUCAGUGGGCUGCUAUUGCAGAAAUAAGGUGCUACGUCACCUAUAAUGGGCCAAAUUGCUUGUAACUUCGUUUGGGACCCGGCCUAAGUGGGGCCCAUGUGGGGUGCGCCCCAAUCAGUUGGAGCACGACCCUAGGGUCCCCUUGGUCAUCCUCCCACCUCCAUAAAUAGCUAGGUACCCCUUCAAGAUUUCUUGGGUUUUGUUUAGAUUAAAGUUUAGCUUUGAUACUUUGCCGUGUAAUCCCGUGAUCGGUUAGAUCGCUGGUUUGCCUGUUACGGAAUCCCAACUUAUCAUUUGUAUUCAAUUCCUAUCUGCAAUUCAGAUUGCUUUUAUCUUGUUCUU